UGGGGAAUCUUCCGCAAUGGGCGAAAGCCUGACGGAGCAACGCCGCGUGAGUGAAGACGGCCUUCGGGUUGUAAAGCUCUGUUAUAUGGGACGAACGGGCGUAUGGUCAAUACCCAUACGCCGUGACGGUACCGUAAGAGAAAGCCACGGCUAACUACGUGCCAGCAGCCGCGGUAAUACGUAGGUGGCAAGCGUUGUCCGGAAUCAUUGGGCGUAAAGGGCGCGCAGGCGGUUCGGUAAGUCGGUCUUAAAAGUGCGGGGCUUAACCCCGUGAUGGGAUUGAAACUGCCGGACUGGAGUGUCGGAGAGGAAAGCAGAAUUCCUAGUGUAGCGGUGAAAUGCGUAGAUAUUAGGAGGAAUACCAGUGGCGAAAGCGGCUUUCUGGACGACAACUGACGCUGAGGCGCGAAAGCAGGG
rnacentral:rRNA from 1 species